UUCAUCUGCGUGGGGUGAAGUCUAGGACAGGAAGUCUAGCUCGAUAGAGCUCGGGAUAGGAAGUAUGGCAAGGUGCAAGUGUGGUUUUUGUUUGUGUGAUGAUGUGCUUAAAGAACAUAUGUAUCGUCUGCCUGGAUACAAGUAGAGUAAAUAUAACCACCCAGAAGUGUCUAAACUACACCUAAUAAGGAGUUGUUUUGAUCGAAUAGCAUGGGGGGGGGUGGUACAAACUCAAUGUCAGUAUAUAAUGAAGGAAGGAUUUGAGAUUCUUCACUUCUUCACAUAUCGUUUCACUGUCGUUAUGUGUUGAGUCCUUGUACAAGUAAAUAAAUCAUCUCUGAUGGACAGAUCCUACGUAUUAGUAUUAUUUUUCCACGACAAUUUGGCGACGAGGAUGGCAUUCCAAUAACCUGAGGGCAGGUCAACGGUCUGAUCAACUCACCAUAGAUAGGAGGUGACCCAAACCCCCAACUGAAGGGACGCGGGCGUUGGCUCUGAUCCUAAGGUGACGGAAUCCAGACGAACCAGUGGCUAUAAUACGGUAAAUACCAAUUAUUAUCUAAAGUGACGUAAACAGUUUGAGAGUGGGUCUCUCCUGAAAUUGAAGAGUGGGUCUCUUCCGAAAUUACAGUAAAGUGACGUAAACAGUUUGAGAGUGGGUCUCUCCUGAAAUUGAAGAGUGGGUCUCUUCUAAAAUUACUUACGGAAUUCUAUCCGCCUGUAGAUAAUGGAAAACACGGGAAGUAGCGCUCCCCGUCCGAAAUGGAACACGGAAAGUGGAUUGUCUGUCGGAGAUGAAACCGGUUUAAUAAGAACUUAUGGGAGAGGAUGGAUAGAAACCAUACCUCUGAUACAAAAAUAUGGGGAAAUAAGUUUCAGUGUAACUAAAAAUAAAGAGCUCAGAGACAAAAUAAUACAGAAAGAUCAUUCUAAGAAUAAAGGUAGAUUGUUAACAGUAAUGGAUAUGUUCAUUAGAGAAUCUGAGGAAAGAUUGAAUAAGCAGUAUUUUAAAAUAAUGCCUUAUAGUGACUCUUCUUCUUUUUCCUCCUGUGAUGUAUGUGACCUGAGUGGACCUGGCAAUGUGGGUCGCACUUCCAGUCUCCUGUACACCCAAACCCUCUCCGAAAACAAUCAAUUACCUCCGAAGCCGGCAUCACCCCCAUACGAUGAACAGCAAAAUGGAGCAGUCGGAGGAGCCCCGUGCUGCCAACUACACCGAUACCCCCUGCCGAUCUCUAUGUCAACGCUGUGGCUGCACGGGACUCCUACGUGCAAACAACAAGAUGGAGAGACCGUGAGUAAUUUCCUGGCAAGAUUAGAAAAAGACUUUGAGAGACAUUCUGGCAUAACUGCAAAAAUGCCCAAUAAUGAACCCCACCCAGCGUACAGUAUGCACUUACCAAUAUACUUCAUGAGAAAUCUAGAUAUUGAACUGUCUGAACCUAUCAAAGCUACCCUGGACGGGGGGAAAACGGCCACAUUGGAGGAAGUGGUGAGACAUGCGGAACACCACGAGAAGAGACUUAAACAAGAACGCCUCAAAAAGAACAGGGAGGCACAAGAUAUGAAUUUCACCAUGAUGCAAUGCACCCUUAACGAUCGACAACAACAGGAUCGUAACUCCGGUUUUCCAACACUUAACCCGCAGGGGAGAGGCGGCCACAGAGGAAGGGGCAGGGGUAAAGGCAGAGGACGGGGACGAGGGAACGGCCGGUGGAAUCAACGCGGAUGUUUCAACUGUGAUUCAAUGGAUCAUUGGAAAGAUCAAUGCCCCGAACUAAAAGUUCAAAAACCUCAUGCAGACUGAAAUGUGCUAAAUAGCGGGGAGGGGGCCGGUGGAGAGGAGACUGAAGUAGGUUCUUUUAUGCUCUGUCGCAAUGAAGAAUGCUUGGCCGGGGCAAAAAGAUUCUUUUUAUUGUAGAUUCAGGGGCCCCCACUUCAAUAUUGCUGAUUAUAUGCCCAAAUCUGUACAGAUGAUAAAAAAAAAAAAAAAAAAAAAAAAAAAAUGAUGAAAAAUGUUCCCUCAGUGCCACAGGGCAUGUUGUUAAAGAAACUUUUUCUCAACCUUUACAAUGUAUAUAUGAACAUAAUCAAACUUCUUUUUUUACCUCUUUUCUAAUUAGCAGAACUUGCCCAUAUAACUUGCUCGGUAGAGACAUCAUGUGUAAACUGCACAUGACGGUAUGGUGUGAUGAAGUGACUGGGUUGAAUGUGACUCUGUGUAAGGAAGUGUGCCUCAGUGUGUUUGUGGGGGAGAGGCCUGAGAGUGAUGCUGGUUUGAAAACACACUAAUGUACACGCCCAUCCUCAGAUUUUAAGUCACCAGAAGAUUUGCACUGCACAGCUCAUGUCACCUGGGAAAUCGAAGCAGAUUACCAAGCGGCGUGGGCACAGCAGUCUGGUGAUCAGUUGACCACAAAUUGGUUGUACUGGAAUGGGGCCUGGGCUGCAUUGAGUGUGAUGCUUCCUAAAUGUGCUUCUAUGUUGUAUGAUGUUGCAAAUGCUGGUCCUUACAUAUCACUGGCCAAAGCUACUGAUAUGAAAGGGAGUAUGUGGGCCCUAUAGUAAGUGCAUGCACAAAUGCCGCAAAUUGGCAUAUGUAAAAUGAUGACAUGUCUUAUUUUCCAUCCUUAGGUGUGCGGAGAACCGCAUACCAGAGCUAUUCUCUGCGAAAGCGCAGGGAAUAGCAGCGCAGCGACAGUUGGCAGCACACAUGGGGUGGAUCGGUACACGAUGCCACUCCAUCAGUGGGCCACAGAUAAGUAUAAUGUGGGUCUCAUUAAAUCAUGUGCGUCCGUAAAGAUCACACCAAAGAGUGAUUUUCGCCAGUGAAAACCAUAAGAUCCUCUCAAAAAAGAAGCAGAGGACUGUAUCAAACCUGUUUUUGAUUCGUUGUUCGCAAAAGGAAUUAUUAUUCCAUGCUCGUAGUAACCGGAAAAUACACCAAUAUUUCCGGUAAAGAAAAUUAGAGGAAAAGUUGAGCCCACUGAGUGGAGAUUUGUACAAGAUCUACAGGCAGUAAAUGCGGCUGUAGAAGCAAGGGCUCCGAACGUGCCCAACCUUUAUACCAUCCUGUUACAAAUAUCACAGAGCACCGCAUUUUACGUGACCGUGGACAUUUCCAAUGUGUUUUAUUCAGUGCCAGUGCAUCUGGACAGCCAGUUUUGGGUUGCGUUUAUGUUCGCCAGCCGCAGAUUCAUGUUCACUAACCUUUGCCGGGGCUAUCGUGAGUACUAUAAUAUACCACUAAGCCCUGGCAAAAAGCCUGUCCACCCUAAACCUCCCAGAUGGGUUGACUUUGCUACAAUAUGUUGGUAAAGGUAAAGCUCAGAACACAAUCUGUAAAAUCAAAAAGUAUACCUUACUAUGAAAAUGCUGUUUACUUAUUUUUAAUUAAAAUGUUGAGUUUGCUUAAAAUAGCUACUUGUUGUUUAUAGGUUAAAACGUGAAGUUCACACAACUGAACCAAUUUAAGUAAAAUGACACAAAAUAGCCAAAAUGUUCUAUUGAGCAUGCGCAUUCGAGGGUAAUUCCCUUCCUCCACACCUGUUUCUAAUUUUUUUAUUUCUAUGAGUAUUUUCCUGGAGGGCGUGGAACUGUAUGUAGAUCAUCCUUUCAAUUCCAUGUUAAAAAAGUGGUUUGGUAAAUGGAGUGUGUAGAUUUCAUCUGUGUUGUUAUCAAUAGGUGUAAUGAUUGCUAUUUUGAAUUGGUGUGGAUGUUGUUGCAUACCAUUUAUUAAGAGGUCUCAUCGAGAAAAUAAUUGAUAAAGGUAUGACUAAAAUGAUGUACCAACGGGUCGAACAGGAGGAAAUUGAGAAUAAAAUCGAGGAGCAAAAUGAGGAUGAUAGUUGUGGGAGGGCUCUGCAAAUGAGGAGGUGCUAGUGGAACCUCGCCCCUCACACGACCCUCUACGGCUAAAGGGGGCUGCCUGGGUUGAAGAGGAUCUGCAUGCUUACACAAUUUUACACAUACACAUAUAGGAAUGUAAUUAACUAUGUUUAGCUCACUAGUGAUUUGCAUAACAUACUCACAGUGAGAUUGCUCAAAUGCUGAUUCAUGAUAUAGAAAUGUUUACACUGGCCAGCCUGUAAGCUUUGGUGUGUUGAUGUUUCAUUGUAUCUUUACUGUUGUUUUUAGAAAUCUAUGUUUUUUAUGUGUGGUUUGUCACUGGUGUUAUUGCAUUAAUAAUGUGUUGAAAACCUAAGGCAAGCUCACAAGGGAUGAGUAAAUUGCUACUUUAAAAAUGUUGUUUUAAAGUGCAUUAACAAUCUAAUAACAACCAAGGUGAUCGCUUUUUAUGGUAAUUAUGACUGUAAAUUAGAGGAAGAGGAUCAAAUGGGGAAGGAUGAUUUUGAACUGGCUGAGUUCCUUAAAGUAUUACAAUCAAUGUUUAAACAAAGGGCUUCUGAGAGCAGCGUAAAAGCCUGCAGGGAAGUCUGGAUAAAAAUGUCAUUUGGACAUUGGGGUGGAAUUGUAAUGGAAAUUUAUUCUUUAUGCAUUUAUAUUAUUUUUGUAUUCUUCAUUGUAUGAUUUAUGUCAGUCAUGACAUUUUCAUCUGCGUGGGGUGAAGUCUAGGACAGGAAGUCUAGCUCGAUAGAGCUCGGGAUAGGAAGUAUGGCAAGGUGCAAGUGUGGUUUUUGUUUGUGUGAUGAUGUGCUUAAAGAACAUAUGUAUCGUCUGCCUGGAUACAAGUAGAGUAAAUAUAACCACCCAGAAGUGUCUAAACUACACCUAAUAAGGAGUUGUUUUGAUCGAAUAGCAUGGGGGGGGGGUGGUACAAACUCAAUGUCAGUAUAUAAUGAAGGAAGGAUUUGAGAUUCUUCACUUCUUCACAUAUCGUUUCACUGUCGUUAUGUGUUGAGUCCUUGUACAAGUAAAUAAAUCAUCUCUGAUGGACAGA